rnacentral:lncRNA from 1 species
AAGGUUUGGAUCGAAAAACAACAGUAACAACCAUGGAAACAAGGUUGAUUACUUGAUUUGAUUGUUGGGUUGAAGAGAGAGAUUAGAACAUUGAUUCGUGGGUAAGUGAAUCUAAGUUUAUGAUGUUUGUGUUGUGCGUGGAUAAAUGGAAUCCAAAUUGUGUCUUUGAGGAAGAAGUGGAUCUAAGAUUAUUUUGCAAUUUUGAAAUAUUUUAUUUGGAUUUGUUUUGAAUUCUGGAGGUUCUAAUGGUGAAGUUAUGAAGAAUAUGAUGAAGGAAUUGAGGGAGAAGAUGAAGGAAUGGAGGAAGAAUUUGUUGGUGAUGGUGCGCUCUAAGAUUUAGUGGACAUGUAAAAUCUAAU